CAAGAAUCUGCCUUGCUACAACUCCCUGGGAGCUAAGUGCUUGAGGGCCACUCUGAGACACAGUGAUGUGGCUGUGGAAGGAAUUUAAAGAAACCUUCUGGCAGGCGCCGCUCGGACACCGCUGACACCACUGUCUGGAUCGGCGAACCCCAAAGGCGAGGAACCGCUGGU
rnacentral:antisense_RNA from 1 species